rnacentral:lncRNA from 1 species
GAGAAGAAAAAAAAAAAGCAAACCAAAAGUACCAAAAUUGAAAAAGAGAAAAAAAAAGAUUUCCCACUUACCACCAUUCGGCGAACCAUUCAGCAUGCCUGUAGGAUCAAGAGAAUAAAUCCUCAAACAUUGCUCACUGUGUUUGUGUGCUCAUUUUUAUGAAUAUAUUAAAAUCCUUAGCCUAAUAGUUAUAUUUUUUUUGCUUUAGGCUAACAUAUCACUGUUUUAUACUUAAUAGUGACAGUGGAAAGCAGCUAGAUUUUAAAAACCUACUACCUCAUACCUUAGUUUACUGGUUCCAUGAGAGGUGUGGGUUAAGAUUGCUAUGUUAAAGUCAAGCCUCACCUAAGGAGGGAAGGAGCCCACACUAGCUCAGUAGAUCUCCAGGGCCCUUUCUUAGGUAUAGAGAAUAGAUUUCACAGGCAGGAUCUUUCUUAGGUGAAGGCUUGUGUAUUGUCAUUAAAAAUAGUCACAUUUGCAUCAAAGGAUUAAAAAAUUGUAUCAGGCCAAGCUACUUGGUUUGGUUCAAAAUUUCUUUUCAAAAUAACUGUUGGUUUUUUUUGUUUUUUUGUUUUUGUUUUUUUUGUUUUGCUUUGGUUUUUAAAUGAAUAUAAAAGAAACAUUUUAACUAAAAGGCCUUCCUGUGCAGCCCUCGAGAUUCUCUUUCUUCCCUCAUAAAUUAAGGCAGUGAGUCUUGGGCCCCUUCAAUCAAUGUCAGACACCCCGGGUCUACAAACUCAUGUUCUCACCAUUCAGUCCUGAUGAAGCCCAGGCAGUGGGUACCUGCAGUCAGAUUGCAUGGGGUUCUCCCAAGGUGCCUUGCCCUGAUGACCUCAGAGCAAACCCCACACUGCUCAGCAUCAUUUGGAAGUCUUCUUGCAGUCUGGAACCUCUGCCCUGUAGACCUCACCCCCUGGCUUCUCGGUCCUACAGCUGCUUUUCCAGGCGCGUAUCCUAAACCUUACUCCAGAUCCUUGACUCUGGGUUCUGGUGACCCAGUGUCCCUGAAAUACCCAGCUCAUCUUCUUGUCCAUACUUAAAGGUCCAGGGUAGAAGGUGCCACCUCCAUGAAGCAUCUGAUUGUGUCCCUUUCAACUAGGAGGGCCUUGCUCUCCUGUGCAAUGCUAUUGGAUCUUCAUUGUUUCUUCAUACAUUUUAAGAUGGUUUUUUCAAAAUCUUGUGCAUGUUUUGAGUGUCUGUGAGGUUAUGUGCACGUGUGUGGGUAUGUAUAUGCAUGUGUGUAAGUAUGUGAAUAUUAGUAUGUGUUUGUGUGUGUGUAUGUACAGGAACAUGUUAUACGUGCAUGUGUGUGUGUGUGUGUGUUGGUACCUGAAGAGGCCAGAGGUGUUGGGACCUCCUAGAAAUGAAGUUAUAGGCAAUAGUGAGCCACCCAGAGUGGGUGCUGGGAACUGAACUCAGAUCCUCCACAAAAGCAAUAAGCACUCUUAUCCUCUGAGAUGUAUGAGUUAGGUGUCUCUAUGUUAAUUUUUUUUAUUGUGAAUCCCUUUGAGGAUAGGGAGCAAGUGUUAAUCUUGUUAUCCACAGGUUUUUUUAUACUGCACGCCAUGGUCCAGGUUAUUCUCCAGAUGUUUGUUUAAUGGAAUAGGUCAGGAAUUUUCAACUUUAGGAGUAAAAGGUACGAAUACCAGAUACCAGUCCAUAUUUAAACGAGAACUCUUAAAAAAAAAAGUAUAGAUUUGUGCUGAAUCAUAAAGCUAAGAUUGGGUUUAGAAACUUUCACGCCAUGAGACAAUAUUCAUGACGUUGACGUUACACCAUCAGUUUUGAGUAUGUGCUCCAUGCCAGAGCUGCUCUCUACCCCAUCCACAUGAGGCCAUGUCAUCCUCAAGGCAAGUCAGUGCUGGCCUCAGCACCUGCCCUCGGCAGUGGAUGAGGGAACUGAGGCACAGAGAGAAAGUCAAGAAGUGGGAAACCACAGCUGGCCCGUAGAUGAGCUAUCAGUAGGACCGAGGCUCAGCUCUCACUGCUGGCUGAUCCCUGCCUUUGCUCUCAUCACCACUGGUACCCGGGAGAUGCUGGAGGAGAUUCAGGACAGCGGCUCUAUCAUUAGAAAUGAUUCACAGGGAGGCGUGUGAUGAUAAACAAGACGCUCUGGGAAAGUGUGACCGUGAGAGCUGUUACAGUGUGGGUGGACAAGAAGCCGGGGGAGGAGACGGAAGAAGUUGGGGAGUGUUGUAGCUGAGGAGGGGCGUUAACUAAAUAGUGGCUUUAUAAUGUGGAGUAGGUUUGUAGGACGUAUAUUCAUGACUUUUGCUUAGGCAUUGUCAGAAAUCCACCUGCCUCUGCCUCCCAAGUGCUGGGAUUAAAAGCGUGCGCCACCACGCCCGGCUUGUCUUCAUUUUUUUUUAAAGAAUUAUUUAUUUUAUGUAUAUGAGCUGACUUCACAUGCACCAGAGGGUGUCAGAUCUCAUUCAGGAUGGUUGUGAGCCACCAUGUGGUUGCUGGGAUUUGAAUUCAGGACCUUCGGAAGAGCAGUCAGUGCUCUUAACCACUGAGCCAUCUCUCCAGCCCCAUAUCUUCAUUUUACGUCAAGAAAACAAAACAAAACAACAGCAACAAAACUGAGGUCUAGAACCAAGUCAUCUAUCUGUGUUAUGAGCAUCCUUUUGGUCCAUCCUUAAAUAUAAGCUAGUGACACCUCACAAAGUCACCUCACUCACCUCUGAAGCUUCCUGAUCUUUGACUGUUUAUGUGUGGUCAUGAGAAACAAGCACACUGCCCAUGGAUGACGCAAGAAGUAGAAUCGGUAGGCUAGGACGUUCACUGCUGGCUAAUGAGUGAACUUUGUACAUGCUUUGUGUCAAAUCCCCACUACAAAACUGAGGGGCUUGUGAUAAUGCUCCCAUGUUUCCCAUGAAGGACCUGUGGCACAGAGAGGUUACUUGGUUGUCUGUAGAGAUGCAGUUCAGCGAGCGGGAAAGCUUGGUUUCGGGGACAAGUGUCUGCCUCUGGAGACAGGUCCCCACCUACCCUUAAGCUAAUGCUCUGCACGAAGGGCCUUGCGAGGACUUCCAGUAAACUUCUUUGAGCACUGAGAAUGACCACUGUGCUUUGGGAUAAUGUACAUGGCUAGCCUUCAGGGAUGGCUUAAAUAGGAGAUGCUAAGAAUGUUUGAAGACUAUCAUCUGAUCCACUCCACACAUAACCAUGUCAUUGCCCCGUAUGGCUUUGAAAAUUCCUCGGGGAACAUUUGUUGCUUGGUUAUUUCACAUAUCACUUUUCUUUUGCAUAUUAUUAUUUUUUUAUUUUGGUUUUUGUUUUUUUUUUUUCCAGGACAGCCAGGUCUAUACAAAGAAACCCAGUCUUGAAAGAAAAACACAGUUCUGUUUGCCAUACAAUUAAAAAGACUUGGCUUCUGUCAUAUACACUUUAUUUAUUUAUUUAUUUAUUUAUUUCAUGUAUAUGAGUACACUGCAGCUGUCUUCAGACACACCGGAAGAAGGUACCAGAUCACAUUACAGAUGGUUGUGAGCCACCAUGUCGGUGCUGGGAAUUGAACUCAGGACCUCUGGGAGAGCAGUCAGUGCUCUUAACUGCUGAGCCAUAUUCCCAGCCCCUGUUAGGUACACUUUUUAAAAUAACUAACUUACUACG